UACGUAGGUGGCAAGCGUUGUCCGGAAUUAUUGGGCGUAAAGAGUGCGUAGGCGGUCUAUUAAGUCUUAUUUGAAAGCCCAUGGCUUAACCAUGGAGGGUGAUAGGAAACUGGUAGACUUGAGUAUAGGAGAGGAAGGUGGAAUUCCACGUGUAGCGGUGAAAUGCGUAGAUAUGUGGAGGAACACCGGUGGCGAAGGCGGCCUUCUGGCCUAUGUCUGACGCUAAGGCACGAAAGCGUGGGUAGCAAACAGG
rnacentral:rRNA from 1 species